rnacentral:rRNA from 1 species
GACGAACGCUGGCGGCGUGCUUAACACAUGCAAGUCGAACGGAAAGGCCCUGCUUUUGUGGGGUGCUCGAGUGGCGAACGGGUGAGUAACACGUGAGUAACCUGCCCUUGACUUUGGGAUAACUUCAGGAAACUGGGGCUAAUACCGGAUAGGAGCUCCUGCUGCAUGGUGGGGGUUGGAAAGUUUCGGCGGUUGGGGAUGGACUCGCGGCUUAUCAGCUUGUUGGUGGGGUAGUGGCUUACCAAGGCUUUGACGGAUAGCCGGCCUGAGAGGGUGACCGGCGACAUUGGGACUGAGAUACGGCCCAGACGCCUACGGGAGGCAGCAGUGGGGAAUAUUGCACAAUGGGCGGAAGCCUGAUGCAGCAGCGCCGCGUGCGGGAUGACGGCCUUCGGGUUGUAAACCGCUUUCGCCUGUGACGAAGCGUGAGUGACGGUAAUGGGUAAAGAAGCACCGGCUAACUACGUG